UUAUUAGAAUAAUAAUUGUAUUUAUGUAUUUAAUGCGAUAAUUUGUUUGGAGGUUUCCAGAAACAUUUACGUUGGUAAAUUGUGAAAAUUCUCAGAUCCACGCCUUGCCUGAGGGAUUGUGUAAGGUCACGUGGUUAGCUCAGCGAGUCAUUCACACUCGCGCGCUCACCACCGCUAACAUGAAGCACGUCUAUUUUGAAGAAAUCACAAUUUUUUGUGAUCGUUAUAGUCAGCCAAGAGAAGUGCUUUCUUAUUCCAUCAUUUGUUGAUUAUUGUCACAAUUUGCAAGAUUUGUGCUGUUUGAGAUUAUUUUUUGUUUACUUAACCGAGGGUGUUGCCCACAAUUUGUGAUAGACGUGCGUGUUAUUCACAUGUGCAGAUUUUGCAAUGCCCAUGUGGAGUCAUGUGGAGUAUAUUUUUCUGAUGAUUGGACUUUAUUAACUUUGUGUUGUGUUUUGAACUGGCAUCGUUCGUUAAUUAAAGGACAGAGAUUUCCAUAUACCCACAUAAUGCGCGUGAUUUCUGAUUUUUGUUGUUUGUUAAACUAAACGACUAAAACUGAACACAUUUAUAUCAAUGGAGACACGGAUUUGUUUGGCGAGAAGUUGUGAUAAUAUUCAUCAAAGGCAGUAUCUGCAGGAUGGCGUUGAUGGAAAACAAAUACGCAGCUGGAGAUCAUGACGGUCUUUGUGGAGCCACAGAGGUUUCAGGAUGAACCUGAGCUAUCAAGUCGAGUUGGUGUACAUCUGUGCUGCACCCCCUUGCACGACCAGCCAAUGCGGACGUGGUUUCGUUGUAUAGGAAUGCAGAUAAUUCAGUCGUCUUAAUAAUAAGGCCAGUAUCGUAUUCUUAAUCAUUUUAUUGCACAACGUGUUGCGUAUGCUUUGAGAAGUCUAUGAAUAGGAAAGAUUAUAUAGAUAAAGCUUGUCAGCAAAUUCUGUUGAUUAAAAGCAAGGAUUGAAUUUUAAAGUCAAGCCAUUUAAUAUUUUUGAAUUAUUAAAAAUUACACAGCAAGUUUUUGUUAGCUCGCGUUUCUGUGGAAAUUAUAGAAUUUGUACAUUUGUUCGGUUCUUCUAAUCUUCUAAUGACAGUGGUUUCGGUCUUAUGUAGAAAUUAUUCAUUUAGACACGGUUAUAUGGAUUAAGAUUUACCAUAUGAAUCAGUUUCCCAAAUUUAUAAUCUUGAUAAAAUGGAGCUACGGUACAGAGUUUUUUGUUUAGUUCACAAGUUUGUUUAUUAUUGAAUCGAAAUAAUUUCGGCCUAAUGUACUUAUCGUGUGGACUUGUAGGGGUAUAAAUUUAUAUAUGAACCUACCCACGUUGUUUGACAAUAGUACAGAGUAGGCCGCAUAUAUGUACUUAUUGUGUGGGAGUUUUUGGGUACAAAGUUUAUCUGUGCCUACCCACGGUGUUUAGCAAUAGUACAGAGUAGGCCGCAUAUAUGUACUUAUUGUGUGGGUGUUUAUUGGUACAAAGUUUAUCUGUGCCUACCCACGGUUUUUAACAAUAGUGCAGAGUAGGCCACAUAUAUGUACUUAUUGUGUGUUUAUUGGUACAAAGUUUAUCUGUGCCUACCCACGGUGUUUGACAAUAGUACAGAGUAGGCCGCAUAUAUGUACUUAUUGUGUGGGUGUUUAUUGGUACAAAGUUUAUCUGUGCCUACCCACGGUGUUUGACAAUAGUACAGAGUAGGCCGCAUAUAUGUACUUAUUGUGUGGGUGUUUAUUGGUACAAAGUUUAUCUGUGCCUACCCACGGUGUUUGACAAUAGAACAGAGUAGGCCGCAUACAUGUACUUAUUGUGUGGGAGUUUUUGGUACAAAGUUUAAAUGUGCCUACCCACGGUGUUUAGCAAUAGUACAGAGUAUAGGCCGCAUAUAUGUUCUUAUUGUGUGGGAGUCUAGGGUUCAUUAUUUAUUUGUACCUAUCCACAUGUAUAAGAUAAGUACAAGGCUAAGGGUUUCUUUGUACCAGUAACAGUUUAUGUCGUGUUAGAUUUUUUGAUUUGGAGAUUUUUUAAGUUAACACGACAUGGACUGUGGUCGAAGAAAUGAAACUUACCAAGAUCAAUGGCUUAAAUUCGUUAUGCAUUGGCAUACCUAUGUUAAAGGAGUUUGUUCCUAGUAUACUUGUAGAUUUUACAUAUAUGCCAAUAAGAGGCAGUUAUGUAUUUGUUUGCACAUUAUGACAUUUGCGUCUAAUGUAGCAGGAUUUCAUUUAGUUUAGAGUUACCCGUACGCUUGAUCUUCAUGUUUUGUGCGGAGUUUAUAUGUAUGCAUAUGGGUCGAAGUUAUCCAUAUUUUCACUGUUUUGUUUUAAAGUAUAUAUGCCCUAUUACAUCUAAACAUAAUGGCAACUUCAUUUCAUGUUCAUUGCAGUCAAUUUUAAGUAAGAGUAUCACAAUAGUUCUUAGUUGUUACAAAGUACGUGUUACAAAUAGUGGUAUCUCCUAUACAUGUGACAUUUUUAUCUUUUGUUAUGGAGUUAAUAGAUUUAUUCUUUAAUAUUUCGUUUGAUGAAAUUGGUAGAAUCCCGGAACAUGUAGAAUUUCGUCAAAGCGAAUCCUCUCAGCAGGGAAUUAAUCGAUUAUUAUCAGUAUGAUUGUAAUACAAUAUAUACUGCUAUCAAGUUGCAGAUGCCUUUUGAUGAAUUUGCCAGUGUGCAUAUUUGCUACAUCCUAGCAGCCCGAGUUUAGAGGAAGCGUAGCUAUAACUGUUAAUAGCCCAGAGAGCCCAGCAGAAUUGUGCCGGAUGCCAUGAAUCUAAUGUUAUUGAUACAGGUUUGAACUGUUUAACAAAUAUUGACUUAGCGAGCUGUUUUAUCUAACAAAUUGCAUAAGAUCCGCGCCACCGGUGGAUAAUGUCCUAAACCAGCCCGUCCACUAGUGUUAUUCCAGAUACAAUUUGACAUUACCAACAACUUCCAUGCGAUCAGCCGGUAUAAGAUUCAUAUGUUUGCUAGCUAAACUGCUGCAGUGCUGCUACAGGUGUGCCCCAAAUCAGCCGUGUAACCAGGAUAUCCACUACCGUUGGUUCACAAAGCAUUCAUACCAGCUACAUCAUUCAAUUUGGUUUCAAAUAAAACAUUUACAGGCGAGUCAGCAAGUAAAUAAUAUAGGAAGAUCCCCCCUCCAUAAAAAUUCAAAUAAGUUCCCUAUAUAGCUGGUAAAUAUAGGUUUAAUUUAUUUUUAUAAAUUAGUACAGACCUCAUGCACGGUCAGUACAUUAAAUAAAAGGUUUUUCAAUUUGCGUCCCUUUUCGGAAAUUAAGCAUUGCCAGGCUAGAAUACAAUAAUAAUAAUAAUAAUGAUAAAAUGAUUUUUAAAAAGUUUCUAAUAGACAGCAUAAUGUUAGACAUUGUUUGGAGUUACUAGCUCAUGUUGUACAUUGUACGUUUCUGCGGUCUUUAUCUUUAAAUAUUAAUUUGCUUUAAUUAACGUAAAAUUUUCUCCAACUUAUUUUUAUAUGAAAAUUCUAUUAAUUUUCGGUCUUGUUUGACAUCUGUAGUUGAAAGAUAAUCGUUUUCUUUUGAUAUUUAGGAAAGGCAUUUUUGCACAUGGUGGCAGUAUUUCAUUCUUGACAUCUCUUUCCUGUCUGACGAUAGCAAUGUUAUUAACUCAAGCUUGUUAUCAAAUUUAUGGUUACAUCCUAGGAUUGCGUUCUUUGAAUUUGCUAUGCUUCGCUCUACCUAAUUUCAGUGUGGUAAAUUAAUGUCUACAGAUUCCCUAUGUUCAUGACAUUUUCUAUCCUUAAUUUUAAUUGGCCGGUCAGUAUGAAAGUAGGCAGAGUUGUCAAGAACAGAUUUGUGAGUUUGUAAGGAAGGCAAUCUAGGAACAUUCUUGUGUUAUUCAGUUUUGUAGUCUAUCUAUGAAAUUUGUUCCAAAUCAUAUUUGUGAAAUUUAGAUUUUUGGACUUACAAUAAAUUCUAAACUUUAGAACCGACUUUUCAAUUGACACAAUAUUACAUGGUGAACUUAGUAUAAUCUUCUUCAAUCAUGUAUUUUUCAUAAUUCUCUCAAUAUCAAUUUAUUUUACAUGUUUUGUGGAACUUAAGUAUGUACAGUAAUUUUAUUGUACCUUGAUCUCAAAAGGAGAGAACUAAUACAGGCCCUUGGCCUGCUGUUCAAUCCAUAUUCAUAUUGUACACUUUGUAUAUUAUGAAUAAAAUACUUCUUAUACUAAAAGCAUUCUCACUCAUCACUAGGUUGAAUUUGUCAAAAUUUAAGUUUGUUGACAUAAUAGAUCUCAACCAUUAAUCCUGAUAAUAAUUGAAACUACUAAAUUAACAAAGUGCUACACACCAUUUAGAUAAUUCAUUAAGAUAUGUUUCACAUUGUCAUUGUCAGGGACAGAUCUGGAAAUAUGCAUGCUCUCGAUAGAUACAUGUAGCCCCCGGCCGCUAGCAUAAUAUAAUAAUUUUUCAAAGCAGGGAAAUCUGUAAGUCUGGAUCUUUUGCAAAUGUGUAUAUGGUAAGCUACUCAUGAGACACAGACAAACUGUUCAGAAAUCUCUAUUAGGAUUUUGAAGGACAACAGUUCAAAUGCAUGGCAUAUAUAUAUUUGCUUAAAAUCACUUAAACUUAAUAAGUUCACAUAAUCUGUAACAUACAAGAAUGAAGAUCAAAUAUUGGUCAAUGGUAAUUAUUGUUUUGUUCUUCUUAAAAAAAAAAAAUAAAUAAA